AAGUAAGAGUAGCCUGGCCAUUACCUGUUGAUUUCCAUUAUAAAGGAGCACCAUAGACCGUGGCAGUAUUUCAGUGAUGUAACCCAGUCCUGUACGCACAGGCAGAAUUUGGCUCUCUGUGUCCUGGCACAGGAGGUGGAGGGAAGCCGUGGAAGUAGGUCCAUCAGGGUGAGUGCAUUAACUCGAUGUUUUGAGAUCUAAUUCUCAGAGUUAAAAUGCAUGAACAGAGAUUUUACACUGAAAUCUAUGAUUUCCUCUGAAUUCUCUUCUUUUGUGCCUUCUGCAUACGAGCUUUUGUUAGUCAAUUGCUACACAGCAUUUUACAGCGUGUCUUUUGUGUAGUGGUCCUUUCAGCUGUCAUGCUCUGAUCGCAUUCAGCCUAGAUGUAUAGAGCAUUUAUUGUUUGCUUUGGGAGUUUUUUAAUGAACAUUUCAUUUAAUAUUCAGCCUUACUUGCCACUUGUCAGCAAGAUCAACAUCCUGUUGAAUUUCACUCCGAGCAACCUCAGUGCAUCAGUUACGGGUCCACGUCUCAUUUCAUCAAUAGUUGCAAAUAGGCCACAAGACUGUCUGUGUCAGUCGUGUAUAAGAGUGAAGACAACAGAGGUCUAAAUACAAACUAUGAUGGAAAUUACCGACUUUUUCCUUUCCUUCUCUUCUCAGGCUCUGACCCAUUUUUUCCCCCCAUAUCUCAUCUGUAGUAAAUGUCUUGAGCUCCAUCUGAGGGUGUCCUGCCAAGGGGAAAAGAGAAUUAUGUUUGCUUUCUUCCCUUGUUUAUGCUGCAUGGAGCAGGCCUAAGAGGUUUUCCCCUCUUUAUCCAAUAAUAUUAUCUUGUUUUCUUUUUAUAAUAACUCCAGGGCUUGUCCUAAUAGGCUCGCUGGAUAACUGGAGUAAUACAGAUAUAUACAAAAACUGCUUUGCUGAGAGGAGUAACAAUUUUUCAUUAAGGCUAUUAAUGUCCUUAGGGAUUUUUAUUCUGUUUCACUGAAAUGCCUAAAAAUAUGUAGCAGAAAAUAUACUCUUGUUAAAUGAUUGGAUAAUUCUGCCAUCUUAGCUAAGAGUUGGGCAACCACUGAGACAUCCCACAGAUUCUUCAGCAAAAAGAAGAAAAGCCAAAGUUGACAUUUUACAUAUAUUUUUCUUUUAGAGCUAUAGGAAGCAGUCCCAAUACUCUUAUGCCUUUUUUUAAUACAGAAAUAAAAGCACAAGCAAGAGCACAAGCCAAUUUUUUUUGUUUUCCUUGGUAGGUCACUGCUAACAGCAUUUUUUGAAAUCCCAGCAACUGCUACUAAUCCUGACCUGAUUUGGAGUCUUUUCAAAGCACACAAAUAAAACCAGGUUGACAAAGCUCAGCUCAGAGACUGGUUUGCCUUCUUUUAUCUCAACUGGGACUGCCACAGGGGCAGGAGAAGUACCACCAAACCGAUCAGCUGGCAGCAUUGCUUUCAAGAAUACUCUGGAGCAGCAGCAUCAAAUCCUGUAAACUUCCUGGGAUUGCUGGUGUGUUGGCCGUGGCGGUAGCAAAUGCUGUACGUGAACACUGACCUCCAGAAGCACUUUUUCUCCUUCUCUUUCCCUCUUAGCAUUUUCUUAAGUUUCCUCUUUCCAAUACCCAUGUGCGCCUUUAGUGCCUGCAGCACUGACCUUCCCUAGUAUUUGUUUCCUCUUCUGCACGUUCCUGCCUGUUAUUUCAAGGGGAAUUGAAACUCUUCUAAAAGCCCUGGGAAAGGGCUUUUCUUUUGCUACAGAGGCUGCAAAUUUGCCAUAUUUCUCCCACAUUACAGUAGGGCUCCAGACCCACUUGUUGUCAGUCAUGCUGGCAGGAUCGAUAACUCUGGAAAAGGAGGUCAGAAUGGGCAAAUAAAUUGACAUUGAAUACAGUAAUAAACAACCUGGCUAUAAGGUCCCCUCACAUACAUAUUCCAUUUUCUGCAGUUUGUCAUUUAAACGUGAGGCAAGCUGUAUUCAGAUAGGAAGUCAGGAAUGAUGGGAAAGGAGGAAGAAGGAUGAUCAAGGCACUGUUAUGACAGUAAUUAAUUUAACAGCAUGUGCUUGUGUGGAUGUGUUUCAGGAUUUCAUUGCAUCAAAAAAACCCAUCUCAGGUAGUUUUGGGACACUGAUGAAGUUUUAUUGCUCUUCCCAACCCUUGUCUCUAAACCCAGAGUUUGUUUGGUUUUUUUAUAUCAUGAAUCUCACUGAAAUAUUGGUAUCCUAUGACCCGCUCUCUCUGCCGCUCCUCCUGUAAUUCACUCCUGGGUCCUUCCUCAGCAGUGAGUGCUGCCAGUGUUGUUACUGCCUCCCCUCUGCAAGUCAUCCCUCUCACAAAGGCUCUCCACUUGAACUAGAGAAAAGGGAUUUCCUCCCUAAAAGACCAGAAUUUUAUCCUCAUUACAGAGCUUUUACUACUGUGUAAUACACAGCAAUCAUCUAAUAUCUGUCGUCUUUAUCCAUAAAAUGAAAGCAUUAAUAUCCCCAUCUGUCAAAGAUUGCAUGUAAACAUUCAUGCCUCCCAGGAUGUGAUAGAGAUCCACAUUCCCUUUCAUAUAAGCACUGCUACCUCUUCUGUCCUAAUGCCUGAUCCACGGCAGUGGCCUCAAAGAGCUUUUCAGAAGACAUUCACACUCUACUGAUUUAUUCCCACAUAAAGGUAAAUACAUACAUAAGCAUAUACUUGAACAGGUGUUUCCACAAGUCAUCAUGUACUCCGUAUCCAAAUAAUAUUUUAGUGCCAUAAAAGGGAAGCUGAUUUUAAGGACUCACAAUAAUUUCAAACUCUGGGGCUGUUUUCCAGCAAACAGAUUACAUGCUUACAGCCCUAUGCUGUUUUCCCCAUACAUUUCAGAUUCUCUCAGCUCAAAACCUUGCUUGGUGCAUUUUCCAUGAUGGUUGUCAUUGGUCCAUUAAUUCUAGCAGCUCCAGGGUAAAUUCUAUCUGCAUCUUCCUGCAGCUACACGGCAUUUGAUUUGUCCUCAUCUACAUAAUCCAUCUGUCCCCCAAUUUGAGAGCUGUGUGCAGCCCUAGGUGCCAGGGAGCAUGGGCUCAGUGCACCGCUCUGAAAGGCAUGGACAACAACCUUGCGUAAUUUCUGGCUUUUUUUCUUAGCAUCUGAUUAAAUUAAUGUGAUUCUUGCAUGAGUCAUGUAAUGGGUGUCUGUUUAAUGUACGGCUUCUCAGCCGUGGCACCUGUUUCUGGGAGGUGAUGGAUAUCAGUAAAUGGAGUUAGAGGUGCUUGGUUCAUCUCAGGAUCUCAUCUGAAGUAGUGUGACAGUUCCUCGGCACGGCCAAAAACCACACGCAGUGUUUCUUUGCCUUGGAGCAUGGGGUGGGGGCCAGCCCAUGGGUGCCAGUCUACCUGGUUUCUCCAUCCUGAGGGCUUCAGCAGCAGCUAAACCAGAGGGAACCAUCAGCUCAGACAGGGAGACCUCCAAGGCAGACGGUCCUGCGUGCGAGGAUGCUGCGGGCAGGAGCCCGAGCACGCCGGCUCUCACGCAGCCUUCCCGGAUCCAGCCCGCAGGGACCUGGCCACCGGAGCACUGGCAGUCUCCAGCAGAUCUGCUUUGGUUCACCCCCACUCAGAUUUCCAUAUCAGAACUUAACUCAAGUACUGGAAAAAAUGAUCUUUGUGGCGUGGCUGGCUUUAUGUACAGUUUAUUAUGUUUUUCUCCCAAACGAUCUUGGUUUAUUCAGAAUCUGCAAAGAACUGUGGUGUCUGAUCCGGAUGGGCUAGUGGAGCUGACAUCCCCCAUCACCAUCACAACAACAUCUGGCUCUGGCCUACUUGUGGCAGGCAUUUAAUCAGAUACUUACAGUGUACGUGUCUGUGGAUGUGUUUGCACAGUGGAAACUCUCCCCAUGUUCCUUAGAGCCCGGUGCUGCUGGAUUUAUUUUUUUUUAAAACCCAAAUUUUUGCUGCUUUUUAAAAAAUUUUUCGAUGUUUUCAUUCAGGUAAGCAUGGCUGUAGGAGGACAGAAGGCUGAGGACAAGUAGCAAAACACGAGAGCAUCCAGCAUGUUGGAUCUUAGGGAAAGAUGCACAAAGAUGCCCAAUAAAAUUAUGCAUGUUGGAUAAGCUUAAAUCUUCUCCUGCUAAUAUGCAACACACAGGGGUACUCUGUAAAAAGCAAUCUGGACAGAGAGAAAGAGGAUGUGUUCACUUAUAAGUGGACUAAAAUUAUUUUUGCUUCCCAUCAUCAGUUUAUGACAGUUGCUGCUGCUUUAAAACUCUUCCAGCAAGGACAAAACAUGUUGGGUUUCUUUUUCAAAAAAUUGUUUGUUUCCAGUGCACUGUGCUUGAGCCAGCAGGCAUAACCCAGAGUUUUGCAAUCUUGUGUUUUGAGGGGAUGGGGAGGACUCUGAGGCCAAGCUCUGUACCAAAUACAUGCAAACAUCUCACCUCCUUGCCCCCAGGCUUUCCCUCUCCUCAAGCGAGCAUGAUGCUGCCUCACUAAAAGGGCUUCGAAGUCUUUGCUCGGGAGCCACUCUGGAGUUGUUCUGUGUUAUUGAAAUGACAGGACACAAGUCACCUCUACUCUUCGUCUCCAGCCUUUCCUUGAAGGAGUGCCAGGGAGUCCUGCAAGGCACAGUGUUGGCACGAAGAGACAUUGAAUGUGAACACAAAGGAGAGCAAGCAUUUGGUAUGUUAGAGGAGAAAGGCAGAAGAGGUGAGGAGGAAGGAACACAUGGUAAAAAAAUAGGAUAUAAAAAGAGAGCCUUAAAAAUACACUGGAGCAGAAGUGUCAGAAAAGUCCUUAAAAUAACCUGGCUGAUGGGUAUGAUGAAUGAUACGAACUAGUGCUUGCUGUAAUCAGGUGUCCAGGUGAAGCAUCCCCCUUUAACGACAUUCUCUGGAGGCUUCGAGCUGGAUCACUUGCUAGAAACCAGCCACAGCUCAUAGCUGGUACCAUAUGACAACAGAUGUUUACCAGCAUCCUCCGAGAAACUCAUUUGUGCAAGCCAAACUCCCAGUAAACAUGUCACAAUCCCCAACAGCAUCACAUCAGUGGGAAGACUGGAUUUUGUCAUGGAGAACAGGACUGAAGAGCAAUUAGAAGGGGACCAGUACUGUCUCCCUCCACGUCGGUGCGAGGGCUGGCUGGAACCUGCUGGAUGUCUAACGUGCCGCCUUGUCUCAUUGCUGAGGCUGGGAUAACUGUUGAGAACUGGAUGGAACUCUUUUAAAAGCAAAAAUGAAACCAUGCCCACUUAUCUCCAUCCACCUUUGCAAAGGCAAACAUUAUGUUUUAGAGGUUAUUAGGGAAUCGGCUGCUCUCUAGGUUUUUGGUGACAGCUAUGGUUGAAUGUGCCUUGGGCUUUGCUUUGCUGAGAAGCACAGAUUAAUCCCAUGCCGCUCUUUCUUCCAAGGCUCCAGCACAAAUGAAUUCAAAGGCAACUGUUAGUGCAGGCUGCAUUGAACCUUGCGUUAAUUGAGCUUGCUGCAAGGCAGGCGUAUACAAAGUGGCUGCAAGUCAAGCAUCAUUUGAGGAGGGGAAUGUGAGUAUUCUGGUGUGAGAGUAAUCUGGCCACAGCCUCCGGCCCAGAUUUUUGCUGAAUUCAUUGCCUGACAUCUUCUUAGAGCCAAAGCAUCAGGAGUCCAAAUGUCUGAGUAGGACAUGGGAAACAGAUACUGUGAAAGCCUCGAUCUACAUCACUGCAGUAUCUAAUUGCGAAGGAUACUUCAAUGUAACGUCAUGCAUAUGAAGUUCACACCAACUAUACCUAUCUUAAGAUUUCAUAACAUUCCUUUUCAUGGUAUCUGAGCCCUACACAGUCAAUACUACUGGGAAACUCUAGUAAAUACAUGUAGUUAAUCUAUGGACUUUUCCCCUCUCUGUAGUAGGAAGGCUUUAGGAUUUCUGCUUAUUUUCUUCUCCUCUAUUAAAUCCUUCUCUGUUUGGUGAGCUGGUUUUACCGUGUAGUUAUGCUCCCAAUGGAGACAAAGCUUUUGGGGGUGCUUGAUGAUCAGCAACUAGAAUUCACAGUUUCUUUUAGAAAUGUGUUCAACAGCCCAACCCUUUGACCAAGGAGGUAACUUUAGAUCCUAAUGAUUAAUAACAAUAAUAAAAAAAGAGGACAUUAGACUUUCUCUGUAGCUUCAUGGAGUGCAUCUAACCAACAAGAUUCAGAAGGAAAUUCGGGUCCUGCCUUUCCCAUCUUGGAGUCUCUGGAGUGUGUAAGUGUACUUUGUGCAGCCACGGUUCACUUUGCUAAAUAUUCAGUGCAAGUCAAAGCCACGUAUCUGUAAUCCUACUCUGUUUUAUCACCGAUGUAAUGACAUUUACUGGAAAGCACAUUAGGAAAAAAUAGUCUGGGCUAACUUCGCUCUUUCAAAAACCUGCAAUUUAAGCUGGAUGUCAGAAGGUGGCAGCAGUAAAGCACAAUUAGGCCCUUUUUGUCCAUAGGCUUUUGUUUCAAACCAUGUUUUUGUUCCCAAAAGAGGCAGAUUUUUAAAAAGGUGUCAUUUUUAACAGUGACAUCAAGUGUGACAGGCGUCCUUCCAGUAAAUGUGAAUGCAUGACUGCCUUUCAUCCUGAUGGAAAGCAGUAUCAAGAGCAGAAUAUACCUUAUUGUAUACAAGUACACUUUUAGAAAAAUCAGGUUGCUCUAUUAUCUUCAGAAAACUAGUCUUCCCUCUUAGCCAUAAGAAAAGAUAACAUAAUUCUGUAAAUGCCCGUCCAAUAUGGUGAGCAUUUACUGAAUUUCAAGGAUCAUUUCUUUUAAAUAAAAAAAAAAAUCUAUUCGUAUUGCAAGCAUUUCCCCCAGUGAAGACUACAUUUUAAAGCUCAGGAAAAGCAGAGAGAGUCUGCGGUGGGAGUAUUCAUCAGUUGAUGAGCAGAGAGAGUCUGCAGUGGGAAUAUUCGUCAGCUGAUGAAUGUUCAACAGUUUCACUCCACCUCUAAGGUCUUUGUCUGUGAGUCUGUGAGCUUCACCCAUAGCUUAGCAGGGUGUCAGCUAUGAAAGGACACAGUGAUGCCAAGAGACAAAGUGUGUUUGAUUGAGGCUGUUCUUGCAGAAAGAAAAGCCAAGAAAUGAGGCAUCGUCACUCAGUCUGUGUCCCCUUCUGCAAUAAUAACUUAAUAUGGUUCCUAGACCAUAUUCUCAAGGUUUACUAUCUGACAUGACUUCAAUAUGCUUGCUGAGCUUUGGCAUGACAAGUCCUGCCCUUCUCCAAGUUCUGACCUAACCAGUUGCCUUACUUUGCUGUAUCCUCACGAAUGUCAUUGCAUUUCACUCUCACUUCAGAGAGAUUUGAAGCAAUUCUGUCCACUCUUUUCCAUCACUUUAAGGGGACAUUCCUGGAAACACUCCUGCGUGAUGCAAACCAGAUGCUGGUUUUGACAGUGUGUGAUAUUGUCUGUGGUAUAAAACCAGUGUAAUAUGUCUAUAGAUGAUAGUGUUUAUCCCCUCAGCUAUGUACCUCACACUCUUCCCUUCAGCUGGGAUGACUUGCCCCAGGACAUCUUUCUGUAACUAUCACUGAAGAACCAAGUGCCUUUUUCUAGCUAGAGCUCCUCAAGUGCUCUGGCUGUGCAAUGUGCCGUUGCAGUGUGUCCUUACCUUGGGAAUGAUGAACUCUGGACAGUUUCUUCUCCCUGGUCCAAGCUAUAUGCUUUUGUGUGACACACAGGAUUCAUAUGUCUCCAGUUAACAGGUUCAUGAGUCCAAGUAAUUUCUGUUUUUCACUGGAUAUAAAAAAAUUGUAUGUAAUGCAAAACAUGCCAAUGAUGCCUUUGUUUUAUCACAUUUAUUUCUUCCAACUUUAUUCAUGCCUGUGGCAUGGAAAUAGCUUGGGAUAGUCAUGUAAUGGUUUCCACAAGUAGUUACUUAUCUUGUACAACAGACUUCUGCUCCUCAGCUGCUAUCAAUGAGUGUUUCUUAAUUUCUUCAAUGAGCCUGGGCAGAUUGACACCAGUUGAAGAUCAAAUCCCAUGUGAUUAACUGUGACAAUAACCACGGCUAAUAUGGUCUUACCCUGUAUACCUCUAGUAAUCCGUGUAAGACCUAAGUAAUCUAGUCAAAAUAAUAAUUUGUGAGGUGGCUGUCAGUUGUCAGAAAGGGGGAAGAACAUCUGUGAUUCUUCUGCCUGUCCCAGUCUCAGGGCUCCUAACGAUCGGAGCUGUACCUUCCCAUUGCACACAGCUGCUUCAGGGGACACUUAUAAGUCACUGCCGUGCAGUUAUUCCUCCUGUAUAACACAAACAUGUAACGUGAUUCAUCACCGAGGUACUCCAGAGUUAUGACAAUAUGAUUCAAUUAACUUCACAAAGAUCUGCCUAUUACUUGCUUUAAUGAAGAUGCAAUGGAUCAUGACACAAGCUAUAAAAAAUACCAGCGCAGUUUGAGUAGUCUAUUGACCAAGCAAGAGAGAGAAAGAGUUCUUCAAAAGCCGGGUACCAUCCUAAGUCCUGAGAACCAACUGGACUUCCAGCUGAUUUUUAGAGGUACCCUGAAGUAGUAUUUAAGAAAAAAAAGGUUUGUAAUCAAAAAGACAAGUUAGGUCAAGAUACGGAGACUUUCACCCUGUAUUUUUGACAGGGUGUAUUUUACAGACCUAAGUGUUGUAAUCUUGUAAUACAAAUUUUCAUAGAACAAAAACAUCUAAAGGUAAUGAACGUAUAUAUCUCCUUAGAGCUGGGGAGAGGGAAGUUUAUGAAAUCAAAGUAGACAGCAGUACAAAUAGCAUUCAGUUGCACAUCUUCCUUAGAUACAUUGGCUCUACACAUGACUACAGGUAGGACUGAAUGAUCUUCCCUGUUUUGCUGUAUUUAAAACCAAGCUUCAAAUCACAUUUUCUCAGCAGAGAGAGCUUUUAUGUCGUACAUGAUUGUUAUCAGUAAUAACAAAUGAACUAAUGCCUUCUUUAUUCCACUCAGCCAGUGGGGCCAGACAAUAAAGUAAUCUGUCUCCCUUUUAAUUUAAUUUUGCCAUGGGAAUCAUUGGUACUACUUGGCAAAAUCCCUGCACAGAAGGAAUAUAUAUUGUUGAAAAAAAUGAAACAAAAUCCUCGUAUGCUGAUGCUAUCUUGAUAAUGCCUAAAAAUCGGUCUAUGUGCCAACUUUCAGUUCCUGAUCAAAUCAGAAUAUGUGAACAUUACCUGUAAAAAUGUCUGUAAAAACUUUGAUAGAAACAUUUUGAGUUUUGCCUGGGAAAACUACUCAGUCACUCAUGACACUAUGGAAAUAUAUUAAUGGACUUUUCCUAUGCAUCCAAUCAGAAAGUGAUUUUCUUCACUAUAGGUGGUUAUUCUUCCACUGAGGUUCAAAAUAGAAAAUGACUUAGCACCUCCAUCUGAGGUAUGGCAGGUGUUCCCAUACAUUAAAUGGAUCUCAGUGCCCUCCAGAGAGAGUACUUUAUUCAGUACAAGCUGGGGUGUAUUACAACAGCUUAAACCACUCUUAUUUACAUUGAUGUCCCUAUGGAACAAUCAAAAGUUCAAGUCUGUGGACAAAAUGGCUUCUCAAUGUGUAUGUGCUCAGUCUGUAAGGCCUUGAUCCCUCCAGCUCCCUUUGGGUGCUGAGCCCCUCUGUCUGCAAGUGCCGCACUCGAGCCAGCGUGUCCCUGGUCUGACCGCGUGGGACACGAUACACGCAGGAGGCUGCUAUUUUGAUUUCCCCAAUUCCUUCUGUUUCCACAGAACACGCCACUGCCCAUUCCAGCAGUGAUGCUACGCAUGGGAACACCUGCAAACCUUUGUGCGAAUGCAGGUCCCGCGAGGCAGGGGCUGUCUUUGCGGCACAGUGGGAUCAGCGCUCCCAGAGCCGCAAAAACGCCAAACGGGAAAAACCCUCGGAGGGCUGGUUAGGAAGUCUGGCAAUAAAAGUUGACCAUUGGGCAUUUGUUUCAGGCUGAGCUACUGGCUAUGGAAAAGAAAGGGAUUUGAGAUUCUUGUCAACUCUCAGACUAUUAUCGCAGACUGUCAGUAGUGCCACUGAUUCUUCAUUUCUACCAACUUUGAGAAAAACGUCAUUAACGCUGAGCGAUACUAUGGCAGAAACUUUAUUUAUUGGCAUUGCAUACACAGGAAGAACUUCACCACCCGCAGUCAAAGCUGGAGAGCAGCCGAAGGCAUAUAAUCAAGGCCUUAAGAAAGUAUCUGUGGCGGGCACUUGAUUACAGGGUACAGUGCACUGAUUACAAGCCAAGAUACCCCCAGAUCAGAAAUCGGAAUUAGUACUUUUUAAGCUCUAAAGGUAGUUUAAAAUAUUCAUCUGAGCCCAUUACUACAUUCAGUAUUUGGAAAUAAACCCCAUUUCUCCACAUAAGGCUAAAACUUCAAAGCGGUAAGAAUUUGCGCAUGUAAUCCUUACCUUGUUGCUCAGUAGGACAUUAACUACAUGUUUAUGUUACUGUUAAUGGUUAGACUUCUCCAUAACAUAGGGGAGAAUAUUAUAAUUGGUGGUAACGCAGACUCCACCUGCAAGGCCUGGAAUAUUGCGUUUUCCAUGUUUGCCUUGAUUGGUUAGUUGGAGUUGUGAAAAUAGGAUGUGACAUCUGCCUGGGCUUGUGUGUGCAAAAUAGCAGCUGUGUGAGAUGUGAUAGGCAAUAAUUGGCUGCCUGCAGAGCAAGAAAACACUCACGUAAAUGACGUCUCUCUCUCUUCUAAAACAUUAGGCAAGGAAGCCUUUCAAGAAGGGGCAGGCAGCCUCUCAGGAAAGAACUGUCAAGUUUGCUUGCAUCAUUGUGUCUCAUUAAAUUGGGAAAUGCACCUCUUCUAAUCAUUAGUUCAGACAGCGCAUCAUCCCACCAUCCAUCAAGAUAGUAUUAUUGUAAUGUAUUAUUUGUGUCAGUGUUUGCCAUAGCAGAGUUCUUGGAGACUCCCGUAAUGCAGCCUUUUUUUCUUUUACAGAAAGGCAAAGAAACUAUUUAAAAUUAGGGAUUCUUAGGAAAGAGAUAGAAAACAACACGAAAAAGCAUCAUUACAUUGCCAAAUAAACCCAUAAUGCACCUACACAUUCAACACUGUAGGCUCUUCAAACCCCUCUGUCACAAGGAUAUGGAAGAGUCAAAGAAGGGAAGCAGACGAGAUCAAGGAAUGGCACCUCUAUUAGGAAUGAGUAUAUCAUCUAAGUGUCUUCGAAGUAGAAGAGAGACAACCUGGGGAGGGGAGGCAGUAUCAUAUUGGUCUACAAAGUCCGAGUGACAAGAAGAGAUUAAGCACACAGUGUUAUUCACCAUUUCUCAUAAUUCAGAAAUCAUAGCUAUAAAAUGAGCUUGUUAUGUUUAACCCUGUUCAAUUCCAAACAGUCAAAAGGAUGUACUUUUCAUAUAGUACACGGCCAAAUGCUGGAACUGACGCCAUAGAGUACUUUGGAUACUGAAUGAUGAGUUCACUCCAUGAGUUUGUAGAAGAUAAAACCACUGACAACAGAAAUAACUCCUGUUGCAACUUCUUGAUGAGGAGUUUGUCUGGACUGCUGAAACUUAGAAGGUACAAUGCAUGUCCUAUUCUUACACUCUUCCUUAAACACUGACUUCUGUGAGCUAGCUGGAUCUUUAAGUGAGCCAAUAGACUUCUUUAUAUGUUUCAAUGGUGUAAAUAAAUUUUUACUGUUGCCAUGAUUAGCAACAAUAAUGGAAGUGAUAAAACAGUACCUUACAUCAAUAAAACUAUUUAUUUUUAAAAACAUGCUGGUUUCACUAAUGUAAAAAAACUCAGAGGCCUCUUUGCCUUGAACUGAAAAGUAAUAUGGAGCUAGGAAGAACUGGUAUUGCAGUCAAGGCCUUGGAUCAGUAGCAAAGUCUGACAAGAAGUCAGUUUUUACGUGACCCAGUUGCAACUCAGAUAUGGAGGUGACCUGGCUGCCAAUUUAUUUGUGACACUACUGUGAUAGCUCCUGCUUAA